UCGGGAAUUUUGCACAAUGGCCGAAAGGCUGAUGCAGCAACGCCGCGUGAGCGAAGAAGGCCUUCGGGUUGUAAAGCUCUGUUGCCUGCGAAGAAGGGCCCUGUCAGGAAAUGGGCGGGGUUUGACGGUAGCAGGCGAGGAAGCCCCGGCAAACUACGUGCCAGCAGCCGCGGUAAUACGUAGGGGGCGAGCGUUGUCCGGAAUUACUGGGCGUAAAGGGCGUGUAGGCGGCCUGUUAAGUCAGGGGUGAAAGACCGGGGCUCAACCCCGGGGGUGACUCUGAAACUGGCGGGCUUGAGUGCUCUAGAGGGCAGUGGAAUUCCCGGUGUAGCAGUGAAAUGCGUAGAGAUCGGGAGGAACACCAGUGGCGAAGGCGGCUGCCUGGGGAGUCACUGACGCUGAGGCGCGAAAGCUAGGGGAGCAAACAGG
rnacentral:rRNA from 1 species